GAUCCUGGCUCAGGACGAACGCUGGCGGCGUGCCUAACACAUGCAAGUCGAGCGGAGACAGUGAGUAGCUUGCUAUGAACUGUUUUAGCGGCGGACGGGUGAGUAACGCGUGAGCAACCUUUCCCAGACAGGGGAAUAACACACCGAAAGGUGUACUAAUACCGCAUAAGACCACGGGAUCACAUGGUUCUGUGGUAAAAGAUUUAUCGGUUUGGGGUGGGCUCGCGUCCGAUUAGGUAGUUGGUGAGGUAACGG
rnacentral:rRNA from 1 species